GCAUGGCAGAGGAAAGCUGUUCAGUUCAUGACAUCCAGGAAGCAGAGGGAGAAGGAGCAGUUACAAUGGUUGCCUUUCAACUGCUCAAUUACCACUCAUACCUAGUGACCACUUUACAGGACAGCACAACUGUGAAGAGUAAAAGAAUGAGAACCUACUGCAAGAGGGCCAGGCAUUUUAUCAGGGGGAGUUGGAGAGGAGAGGAAAGAGACUCAGCCAAAGGACUGUCUAGAUUUCUUGAACCACAGCACUGAAGAUAAUCGGGUCCAUGAUAAUCCCCAACUCAGUCAAUGCACAUUAAUUGAGGACUUAUGUAUUCCUAGCAUUGUGUCUGCUGCCAGAAUGUUACCAUGAUUGAGAAUUGCUCUGUUUGUAUUUGUUUUAAGAAAAAGGAACAUUUGUAGACAUAGAUGAAUUUGAGAAGAGUUUGCUUCUGGGAAACGUUGGAGGUCUGAAUUGGAAGAAAAAGUAUUGAUUCUUUUUUGUUGUUGUUGUUCUAAUUAGUCAUACACAAUAGUAGAAUGCAUUUUGACACAUCAUACAUAAAUGGAAUAUAACUUCUCAUUCUUUCAGGUUGUAUAAUCAGUACUAUGAUUCUUUAUUCUCCUCCUCUCCUUCCUCCUCAUCUUUCUCUUCCUCUUUCUUGUUUUUCUAUGAUGAGCACAUGAUAUUUUUUCAUUCAGAAAAUUAAGACAAUAUGAGUAUCUAGGGAGUUCAUAGUUCACUGGGAGAUACAAACAUAUCACAAUGUAAUGUGGCCGGUGCUAGGAUAGGUAAGUACAAGUAUUCUGCAAAUACAGAGGAAGAAUUAUCCAGUGGUGUCUGGUGAAAUCAGGUAAGGCUCCUUAGAGGAAGUGGUAUUUAAGUUGGUCUUGAAGCAUGAAUUUGAGUUUGUCAGGUUAAGCAUUAGCCAUUGAGUCAUGGGGAGAUGGUAGCAUAAGAUGAUUCCACCUACCCUAAAAUUGUCCUCUCAGAAUACUUGUAUUAACAAGUAUUAACAAAACAUGCUAUUGUAGGAUGUUCCUGAUAACGUAUGUUUAAGUCAUUUUAAUUUCUGACAACAGAAAUUUAAUUUCUGACAACACAAUUUCUGACUGAUACAUUGCAAAUGAUCGGAAAAUUUCUCUCUCUGGAAAAUAAUUGGAUAUAUCUAGACUUCUAACUUUACAAUUAUUCCAGAAAGUCUCUGAAAUGUUUUCAUUAAGCCCAAUUUAGGGCUGGGGAUGUGGCUCAAGCGGUAACGCGCUCGCCUGGCAUGCGUGCGGCCCGGGUUCGAUCCUCAGCACCACAUACAAAGAUGUUGUGUCUGCCGAAAACUGAAAAAUAAAUAUUGAAAUUCUCUUUUUAAAAAAAAAAAAGCCCAAUUUAAUUGAAAUCGCACAAGAACUAGUGACAUAUAGGAUACAACUGAUCUUCAUUUUGGGGGGGAAUAUAAAGAAUACGAGGUAUUUUGAUCAGCAAAAUCCAUCCCUUAAUAUGUCAUUACAUUUAGAAAUGGAAUCCUCUAAUUUCCCUGACCUCCUCCUUGUAGCUAAAUAGAAAGCAAAGGGAAAUGAAGACCAUGAUGGUCUCAAAUUCCUUGUUGUGCCAUUGAUGGAGUUCUCUGGGGGCACCAAAUACCCCUACCCUAACACUAUUAAAGAGCCCUGGUAUAGAUUAGGUGGUUCCAAAACUGGCAAAAGAAUCCUGCUUUCCAACCACAGCAAAUCCUAGAAAGAGGGAUUUGGUGGAACUUGGCGGGUCUCUAGGCCUCUCAGCAAUUCCAUUUGCAUAAUGCGAUGGCAGGCAGAAGAAACAAGCUGAUUCAUCUCCUCGAUGCCCAGAUGCUGGUUGACCAGUACCUUUCAAUUAUUUAUUGAGCCACAACUAUGUGCCAGAUGCAGGGGAUACAAAGAUGAAUGUCACAUGGGUCCUGCUCUCAUGACAAAAAAAUAGGCCCUAGAGUAAAUGUUUUUGAUGACCAUAACUCUUAAGACAGACAACUCAACUCCUGUUUGCUUGUGCUUUGCAACACUGGAUAAGUCAGUUAGCGUCCCUGACUCUCUCAGCUUCCUCAUCUGGCAAACUUGGGUAAUAAUAGGAUCUGCACCACAGGGUCGUUGAUGGUGAUUUAAUGAAAGAAUAAAUGUAAAGUGCUAGUGAAGUAAAUAAUCAGAAAGUGUUUGAUUUUAUAGUAAGUAUGAGUUAGGCAAGGGUAUCUUGGGGGCUCCUAAACAGGUUGAUUUUAUUGCUAGAUUAUCAAAUAGAUUCUAGGAGUCUUCCAAAGCUGGUAGAAUAUAGGAUAUAUGAAUGUCAGUUACUACAACACUCCAUUAACAUGCAAGCUACACACACACACACACACACACACACUAUUCAUUUCAGUUUAGAAACCAAAUUACUGUUAUCAAACAUUCAUGAAAAUCAAAGACCUGGGAUGAAUUUUGAAACACCCAAAAGCUACUCUUAGCAAAUUAUUUAAAAGCUGAAAAGAGGGGCUAAAGAUGUAGCUCAGGGGUAGAGCACUUGCCUAGUAUGUGCAAGGCCCUGGAUUUGGUCCCAGUACCCUCUGCCCACCUCCAAAAAAUAAUUAAUUAAAUUAAAAAACUAAAAAGUUGAAAGUGUCAAUCCUAUCUGGCCCCAAUGGAUUUCUUAGAAAUGACUGGUCAGUAUAAAGAGUAAGCGUGUGCUUGUGUUCAGGUGUGCCUGUGAGAACAGGGUAAGUCCCAACUACUGUAAGGAGAGUACCAGGGCUGGUGGAAAGGCCCUUGUUCCAGGAGGGCACUCACAGGCCCUCAGGAGCAGCCCCUGGGACUGCCCCCUCCCCUGGAGCCACUCUAGGAAGGACUGGAGCCAGGGAACUCCUCUACAAUGCCUUUGUUUCCCAGGCUUCCCAAGUGGUAUUUUUGCCCCAGGCUUUCCACAGGCAGAGUGUCAUAGGGUUGUUCUUGUAGGGAGCAUAUGUUGUGACACACCAUCUGGCUUGUACGCAUUUCUCAAGCAGCCAUAGUAUAAAAACCUGCCUGUUUGGCAGCUACAAGUGCCCAGAGUCCCUUCGGUCUCUUUCUUGGACGGUUUUACAACAUCAAUGGAUAUAAUUAAGAACUAAACCAAGCAUAUGGAUUCAGGACCACACCAUGACCAUGAAAGGGAGCUUUACCUUGGAAUAGGAGUUACUAGGGGUGGAUCCACCCUCAGGCUCCUGGGCAGUGGAGUACAUGAGCUGGUGGUCCUGGCACAGCAGCUAACAGCUGGGCACAGUGUCACCCGGGCUUACAGCUCAACCUCCUAGAGAGGAACAUGGCAUAUUGGUUACACUCCCUGACACCCAGAGCCCAGUCAAGGGAAAAGGAAGCAGCUUGCAGAUGGGAGCCCCUCUGCCUGUUGGCUCCAUGCAAUGGAGAAUACCAGAGCCUCCCCAACCCAGGGGUUGCCAGCAUUUGAAUUGCUUCUCUUUGAACAGAGAGAACAUUACCAUUUGCAGAACAGCAGUUAUUUCCAGAAGAUGUGGAGGGAGAAGCCAUAAUCAAGCUCCAGAGAUUUGAACUAGAAGAUAAAGUUUGAAAGUAUAGAUGACUAUGUAUGUGUGCAUGCGUGUGUGUGUGUGUGUGUGUGUGUGCGCGUGUGCAUGCACAUAUAAAAUAAUAGGCAGCUAAAGGAAAAG